rnacentral:rRNA from 1 species
AUGGAUCAGUUCCACGACCGGCACCACGUGCGGCUGCGGAGCCGCGCGCUCGGCGGGUACCUCCACGCCGCCGACGACGGGGAGAGCGUCGUCCUCCGCCGGGGCCGUGCCUCGCUGAACGCGGCGUGGGCGGUGCACCUCCGCCCAGGCGGAGGCCGCGGCGUGCACCUUCUCCUGCACAGCGCCGCCUACGGCCGCUACCUCGCCGCCAACACGACCGCGCCGGCGCCGCCCGGCCACCGCUGCUCCCGCGCCGAGCAGCGCGACUACGACCAUCCGGUGGUUCCGGACAUCAUGUGGGAGGCCAUCAGGGCGGGUUCCCAGGGCGACGUCCUGCUCCGCACCGUCGGCGGCCACUACCUCCGCGCCAACGGCAGGUACCGCCGCUGGAAAACCGGCGUCAGCGUCGACGGCGACUACAUCACCACCAUGGCGCGCUGGGCUGUCGAGCGCAUCCCCCGCAGAGAGGGCGCGCCUGCCCUUCCACCCCCGAUUCCGAUCCGCGUCCAGGGGCGCCUCUCCGGGAUCAUCUUCGGGCGUCAAGAGCGGGAGGCAUGGCGGACGAUCCGGUUCUUCACCGAGAACGGCUUUUCCCAGGGGCUGUACCCGGAGAACGGCUGGCACGAGUUCCCGUUCCUCGGGAGGUCCGUCUUCCACCUGAGCGAGGAACUGAACAUUCGCGUCGGCGUCCUCAACGGGAGGCCUGCCCCGCGGCUUCGUCAUGUGGUGCCUUCUUUCGGGGUGGAGGACCUGCCCGACGGCUUCGUCAUGUGCGUCCGAGCCGGCCGCCACGGGCGGCUCACUCCGCUCGUCGUCGACCUGCCCCACGGCGGCGACGGCGACACCCUCGAGAUUAUCGUCGCGCUCUCCGGGACCCAAGUCUAUCAUGAGCUGCGACACCCGGAUGUCGACGCACGUGGAGAAAGAUCGGAGCAGGAGUCCUGA